UCAACCUGGACCCCAAAAAAGAGCAGCCUACAGCUGACUAGAAACUUGGAGUCCAGCUUUUCUCGGCUAUGCCUAGCCUAGAUCAGCAGAAGCCCAGUCAACCUACACACAUCACUCUCCCAGAGGAAAGUCAACUGCCAUGUCAGGAGACCACUUAGACAAACUAUUGAUAGGUAAGGAGCUGAGGUCUCCCAGUCAGCCAGGGAGGAACUGAAGCCUGACAACAACUUUGUGACUGAGAUUGGAAGCAGGUGGAGCCUUUGAAUGAGACUGCCGCUCCAGCCAAUAGCCGCACUGCAGCCUUCUCAGACAUCUUGAGCCAGAUUAACCCAGUUAAGCUGCUCCUCAAUUCCUGGCCUAUAGGAACCAUAAGGUCAACCUUACUUAUGGAAGGGGAUUGCAUUAUGGAACGAAAACCAGGAGGUGAUCACUGCUAUCUUAGAGGCUGGCUACUGUUGAUGUCAAAAUCAGCAUCUAUGGCACAGAUGUUCCCUGAAGAUGUCUUGCUCCUGGGGAUUCCUGAAUAUACCAGAGCUGUAAGUGCUGCCCUCCAUGCCUGGGCUGAGGCUGAGAAUUCCUGAGGUUGAGACUGCUGAUGUCUCAUAUAUCCACAGUAUACAUAAGGCACUUAGCACACUACCUGGGGCCAAAUAAGCAUGGCAAAAAUAUUUUUUCUUGCUAUUCUUGUUUUAUAGAACACGCAUCAUUUUCCAGCACAGAAGAAGUAGCAGUCUCUGGCACAAAUAUAGGGGAUAAUCUUGCCGUCACCAUGCCCAUUAAAAUUAUAGUUAAAAAAAUCUAGACCCUUGGGUUUCACUGGUCCCCUUUGGUUGAGUCCCUGGGGGAGCUGAGCCUGUGAGCUAUCAGAAAAAUGAAUGCUGCUUCCUUACCAUCCAGCGACUGGCCUCUUAUCCUUGAACCAUAUUUCUGCCCCUCCCAUCUCCUCUUUUUUCUCCUUUUUAAUCGUGUCACCUCUCAUCUCCAGCUAGAGUCCCUUUAAACCUUCAUUCAAGUAAUGCCUGCAGCCUCUGCUUUAACUCCUGGCUUUCUGGCACAUGCCUGAAUCAUACUGUGCUUAAGCUGAGACACUACCUGCUAAAAACACUAGA